GAAGCUGCCAAUAGCGCAUCGGUGGCCUCGUGCCCCUGGGGCCCAGCCCAGGCCAGUCAGCCUUGCCCCAGGGACAUCCUGCUGCCCAAGUGACAUUUGAGAAGGGAUUAGUUUCACUCACCGUUUUGUUAAAGGUUUGUGAGGUCACAGACAUGAAAUAAGUUUACCUUCUGGUUUUGCUGGGGAGAAGUUUGACUAAGUGCUUGGUUCCCUAUGACUUCCCCAUAGGUGUCCCAGUCAAGAUGGGGACUCACUGUAGCACAUGUUGGGGCAGGAACACCCUCUGCUGGCAGCUCUGGGCAGCUGGUCCCAUCUGCCCAUUCCGCUUGCCCUUUGCUGUCCAGAAAGUUCUGUGAAGCUUUGGUCACUCUGUCCAGCCAGCUCAGGAGCACAGUUGGUUGUUCCCUCUGAACACCUUGAGCAUGUGCGGAAGACACUGAAGUGCUUGUUGGCAGGGAGGCGGAGCCUGUGGACUCACCCUGGGGCACAGAGCAGAGAGCUUGGGAGGCCUCGUGGGGGAAGCAGAGCCUGUGGACUCAGCCCUGGGGCACAGAGCAGAGAGGUUGGGAGGCCUCGUGGGGGAGAUGGAGCCUGUGGACUCAGCCCUGGGGCGCAGAGCAGAGAAAUCGGGAGGCCUUGUGGGGGAAGCGGAGCCUGUGGACUCAGCCCUGGGGCACAGAGCAGAGAGGUUGGGAGGCCUUGUGGGGGAGGUGGAGCCUGUGGACUCAGCCCUGGGGCGCAGAGCAGAGAAAUCGGGAGGCCUUGGGGGGGAAGCGGAGCCUGUGGACUCAGCCCUGGGGCGCAGAGCAGAGAAAUCGGGAGGCCUUGUGGGGGAAGCGGAGCCUGUGGACUCAGCCCUGGGGCACAGAGCAGAGAGGUUGGGAGGCCUUGUGGGGGAGGUGGAGCCUGUGGACUCAGCCCUGGGGCGCAGAGCAGAGAAAUCGGGAGGCCUUGUGGGGGAAGCGGAGCCUGUGGACUCACCUUGGGGCGUAGAGCAGAGAGCUCGGGAGGCCUAGUGGGGGAAGCAGAGCCCAUGGACUCAGCCCUGGGGCACAGAGCAGAGAGCUCGGGAGGCCUUGUGGGGGAAGCAGAGCCCAUGGACUCAGCCCUGGGGCGCAGAGCAGAGAGCUCCGGAGGGCUUGCGGGGGAAGCAGAGUCUGGACGUGGAUGUGGUGGGCUGAUGGUGUAGGCAACCUGAGAAGGCAAUCGCUGCAAAAAUAGACACUGUGGCUCGUUAGGACUGUUUUCUGAUCUGGAUGACAGGGAGGGCUGAGGUCUGUGGGUGGCAUCUUGGGGCAUGAACCAUUGAGGAGAGAUGGGGAACCCAGCAGAGUUGGAGCCGACAGGACACAGCCUAGGCAGUGCGGUGGAAGUGACUGAAGAGAGGGAUGAAGGGUGACUAAGCUUUGAGUCCCCAUCAUGUGGAGGAGGAGCGACACAGGAUACUCCAGGCUUAGCCUUUAGUCACAGAGCAAGUCAGUGGCAGACUUAGAUUUCGUAAGCCCCAACCCAAAGCCUUCCAGCCUCAAAGUGUGUGAAGUUUUCCCUUUUCCAGUUCAUGAAACACAUUUGGUGUUUAUCCAAUUUAGUGUGCUUAUCACAAGAGCUGUGAGUCUAGAGAAAUGAGUCCCUGGGAUUUGCCUUCCUGAGAAGUAAUAGGAUUCAUACUCUGCAAGUCAGGGAAGCUGUACUUCGCCUCCCAGGUGGCAUGGGGGAAGGGGUAACCCGAUGGAAUGAAGAGAAUUCGAGUCCCAGCAGAGCCUCCCCCUAGCUUUGUGACUUUGGUGGCUCUUGUGACCUCCUAGGCAAUUUUUUUUUUUAAUAGGUAAUAUGAAGGAAACAGUCCUGUUUUUUAGGGUCAUGACAUAGGCCAGAUAAGGAUUACAUGGUCUUUUUUGACAGAUAAUUGAGACUUGAACCUGAGAAUCUCUUAUGCAUCUGAUCCCAGGGUCUGGUUUAUAACUUCACCAUGAAUCCAGGUCCUGCCUAGGCUGCUCUACUCCCAGCUCAUCUGCUCGGAUAUCCAUGUUAGCUUGCCAGAUUUGGGAGGCAUCACUGGGGGAAAAAUGGGAGUCAGAUGAACUGGACUUUAUUUUAAUUCUGGUUUCACCAUUUAGAUCCCCUGAAGAAGGGAAUGGCAACCCACUCCAGUAUUCUUGCCUGGAGAACCCCGUGGACAGAAGAGCCUGGCGGGCUCCAGUCCAUGGGGUCGUCAGGAGUUGGACACAACUCAGUGACUAACGCCUGCAGUUUCUUUCACUUUUCACUGUUUAGUCGAUGUGUGACUUGGAGCAGGUUGUGUUUUAACCAGUUUGCACCUUACUUUCCUACUGGUGGAUCAUGUAAUGACUGGUUAGUACUCCUAGGAUAGUUGUGCCGUGAGAGGCAAUGCCUGGUGGCGGCUUUAGCGGAUAAAUGUCAACGUGGCAGAUCAGAAACCUGCUUCGUUUGAGAGGGUAGCUGCUGUUCUGUUUUCCCUAGUGUUCUGUCAGGACUUGUCAGAACCUCAGUAGACAUGUCCUCGGGAGCUGAUAACACCUGGGCUGAUAUCAUCAUUAGUCCAGCAGGUGCUACUAACGUCCCAGGGGAUGGAGUGAUGCCUGAGAGAGAGAAGCGAGUACAAAAAAUGUGGAAAUUGGAACCACAUUUUGUGGUGUGACACGUCUGAUUUAGAUGGAUAAUUCUGGGACAGAUUAGGUAGAUCUGAUCCUAGGAUCCUUCCGUGAAAUGGAGGAGAGCCCCUUCUGGGGUUUCUCAGGGGGGUUCUGCGCCCCUUGCCUCCCCUGGUGGCCCUGCGGCAGCUCACCGCCUUCUUUCAGAUCUGCCGUCCUGUCAUGUCACUCACUGCCGAGUUACCCUUCUGCUGGUCUAGUGGGACUUCCCAAAUGCUGUUUCUACAAACUCACUCUCUGUCUCUGUAGGACCGGAGAACAUGCUUUGUGGGCUGGGGCGGGGUGGGGGUAAGGGAGAGGGAAGGAGGGUUAGUCAGGACCUGUGGAGCAGAACAUUCCUGGGGACUUGAGUGCCAUGGUCUUACUGUCUGUGGGUCUCAUCCUCCCAGGCACACUCCAGGUUGACCCUCAUGUGGAAGGGAGGGAGUCUCACAGCCUUUGGAAGGACUUCCUUCCUUCCCAGGGGGCCCCUUGAUGUCUAGGGGAUUGGUCUCCUCCCAGCAAAGCCUGCCAUGCCUCCCCUCUAUGUGAGUGUAACCUACUCUUGGACCAGGAUCAGAGAGGGCCUGCAGUGGGGCCCUGGGACCGCCGGCCUCAGGCCCGCCUGCCACGGCCCUCUCUCCAGCUUACACAGAAUUAGGGCUUCACUGAGCCUUGACAUAGGCAGUUGGUUCUUUUACUAGAAUAACACAUUUCCUCAACUGAUCUUUAAAGGGAACUGACAACCGUGGAGGAACUGUGUUUAUUCUGGUCCUUCUGCAUUUGGUUCUUGGCUCUGGCUGACCAGCAGCAGCACAGGCUGAUUUGGAAGGGCUGAGCGAAAGCCAGGCAGGGAAGAGCAGGCCUGGAGUUUCCUGCCCUUUACCCAGCAGGGCGCUCUUAGAUGACCUGUCCCGGCGCAGCAAAUGUGCCGGGGUCGGAGACGGUUUUGAGUCUCUGGACUUUCCGGUUUGUGCCAAGACCUUGUUCUGAUUCAGUGGUUGGCUUGGUUACGUUUCCUGACAAUGAGGAGGAGGGCACUUCAGCCCAAGUUGUCCCGGGCUCAAGGAGGGGGUGCCAUCUGUCUAAGGUGGUAAUUGUAUGGGAGGCUCUUGGGAGCAGAGUAUUAAGGGACAUCAGCGAAAGAGGGAGGGACCUUGAGCAGAUUUUAUCUCAGUACAUUACAUUCGUCAAGCCUGCCUUUGAGGAAUUCUGCUUGCCAACAAAGAAGUAUGCGGACGUGAUCAUUCCUAGAGGUGCAGAUAA